rnacentral:lncRNA from 1 species
UCUAUAUAAGAAAAUUUAUUUUUAUUUAAUUAUUUAUUGUUUAUAUUGUAAAGAUUUUGUGAGUAUUAUGUUAAAAUUUUAAAAGGUUGAUAUAUUUUUUUUUUUGUACAAGGUGUUUAUAUACUAAAUACCUAAAUAAGUGAAAUAGAAAUGAAAAACAAUUUUUUAUUUUUUCUUUACCAACAGCGUACAUGAAAAUUUAUUUUUCUUUUCCAUUCAUUUCCACUGAACCAAAUAUCAGAAACUAAAAAAAAAAAAUCAUAAAAUUUUUUCUUCUUAAAAGAAUAGUUUUUUACUCUUUUUC